rnacentral:tRNA from 1 species
GCGAGCAUGGUAUAGCGGCUGGUGCCUCGGGCCUCCAACCCGAUGACGAUGAUUGUCACCCUGAAGUGAGCGUAGCGAGCUGAAGGGUCAACUCUCGCUGCUCGCUCCA